UCGCCAGAGACUGAUAAAAGAGACAACAAAACAAAAAACAUCGGAAACGCUGCGCUCAAACCGCACGAACGGAAGGAAGGACGACCAAUCCUUAAAAACCGGCUUCUGGUUACAUCUUAGGCUGAGCGGUUAGCACCGAGAUGUUUUGGCGAUGUCUGACCCGCUGCACCUGAUCUCGCGGCGUGUGCUCUCGGCGAGCAGCGCCGCUAGGCUGCUAACGUCAUCAGCAACACAGGCUAAAACCGACUAGCCGGCUAACAGCUCAGCCAACAAAUUAACCGACUGUGCCCAGCCCCGCAAUCCGAGCCACAACCCGUCGGCGACGACUUCGAGUUCAUGCCGCAUGGGACACUCCCACGAUGACGUCAGCGGCGCGCACACAACGCGUGAGGGAGCGUGGCACGAUAUGACGGAGUGACCACAUCAGAAGCUGAGAAGCAGGACUCGAGACCACGCCAUGAGCAGCAUGUGCUUCAGAAAAUGUAUUGGGAGCAGCCCUAAAAGAAGAGCUCAGUGACAUCACAGCCAUUAUGAAAAGUAAGAUGCCUUUUGCCCAUGGCAUGAUGACUUCAAGCAAACGCCAAGAAAAAUCACAGUUUUUGUUUUAAAAUAAAAAAUCAUAAAAUUACAACACAACAAUCUUACUCAACCACGCUGUGCAAUCAAAUCUGUUCAUCAAUCAGUUUGUUGUUUUCACCUGUGCCUCUUUAGUUAAGACAGGGGCUGAAUUUAAAAUGGCACACUUGCUUGUAUGCUAUUUGAAUUUCAGUCAAUUCUUUAUGUA